rnacentral:rRNA from 1 species
GUACGCGGCAUCGACUCUGUCGUUGCCGAUGCUACCGGAAAGAUGACCAAACNUGAUCAUNUAGAGGAAGUAAAANUCGUAACAAGGNUUCCGUAGGUGAACCUGCGGAAGGAUCAUUA